rnacentral:tRNA from 1 species
GAGAGUAUAGCUCAGUGGUAGAGUGUGUGCUUAGCAUGCAUGAGGUCCUGGGUUCAAUCCCCAGUACCUGCA